rnacentral:rRNA from 1 species
AAUUGGAGGGCAAGUCUGGUGCCAGCAGCCGCGGUAAUUCCAGCUCCAAUAGCGUAUAUUAAAGUUGUUGCAGUUAAAAAGCUCGUAGUUGAAUUUCGGGAUUGACGUGAUGGUCGUGCCUUAAGGGGUAUGAACUGUUGCUGUUGAUUUCUCACCUUCUGGAGAAACUUGAUGUCCUUAAUUGGGUGUCUUGCGGAUCCAGGACCUUUACCUUGAAAAAAUUAGAGUGUUUAAAGCAGGCAUUUUGCUCGAAUACAUUAGCAUGGAAUAAUAGAAUAGGACGGCAUGGUUCUAUUUUGUUGGUUUCUAGGAUCACCGUAAUGAUUAAUAGGGAUAGUUGGGGGCAUUAGUAUUCAAUUGUCAGAGGUGAAAUUCUUGGAUUUAUUGAAGACUAACUACUGCGAAAGCAUUUGCCAAGGAUGUUUUCAUUAAUCAAGAACGAAAGUUAGGGGAUCGAAGACGAUCAGAUACCGUCGUAGUCUUAACCAUAAACUAUGCCGACUAGGAAUCAGACGAUGUUAAUUUUUUAAUGACUCGUUUGGCACCUUACGGGAAACCAAAGUGU